CCGGGUCUCAGCUCUGCUCACCCGCGCAGCUCCCAGAAACUUCCCCGGCUUGUCUCCACUGGAAUCGGGAUGGAAGGGAGCCACGGCUGGCUCAGCCCCUCUCGGAGCAGAAAGAGGAAACUUCUGAAAAGAAGAUGGGGGCUGGGGGAGGACAUCAAUCAGCACGGACAACCGCAGCUGACACCAUGAAUCACAGUGGAAUUCUCCAAAUGGAAUGCAGCCACACCUCAGCUUCUGUGCUGCGUGCUGCCACUGAGGACAUUCGAUACCAUUGAAGCCGUCAGAUAGAGGCCGUAUUUCAAAAGGUCUACGGUGGCUCCGUUUCUUCUCUGAGACUUCAAAAGUCCUUCAAGAGUGAGUUCCCGUCUCAUUCUAUGUCCAGGAUGAAGACGGAUGGCCUCUUGGCACCCAUCUCUUUGGCAUGAACGAUGUGGGGAAACGUGAAUGGAAAUGGGGAACUGUUGCUGGCACCCAGAAGUCAUCCGGUCCGGAUGAAGCCAAGUCACAAGGAAGUGCCUCCAAUUAUUCUUCAUAAAUUCCUCUGAGGUUUCACUUCUUGUCCACACAAGACUUUAAUAAAAUGUGGCAUCUAACUGAAUAAAG
rnacentral:lncRNA from 1 species